CCGGAGGUCAUUGCUAUUGGAGUCCGAUUUAGCCAUGCUAGUUGCACGAGUUCAGACUCGUAGCAGAUAGCUCAGUAACACGUGGCCAAACUACCCUAUGGAUCCGAAUAACCUCGGGAAACUGAGGCUAAUUCKGAAUAGGGUUCACUACCUGGAGUGGUGUGAACCUGAAACGUUACGGCGCCAUAGGAUGUGGCUGCGGCCGAUUAGGUAGACGGUGGGGUAACGGCCCACCGUGCCKAUAAUCGGUACGGGUUGUGAGAGCAAGAGCCCGGAGACGGUAUCUGAGACAAGAUACCGGGCCCUACGGGGCGCAGCAGGCGCGAAACCUUUACACUGCACGCGAGUGCGAUAAGGGGACUCCGAGUGCGAGGGCAUAUAGUCCUCGCUUUUCUGUACCGUAAGGUGGUACAGGAAUAAGUGCUGGGCAAGACCGGUGCCAGCCGCCGCGGUAAUACCGGCAGCACGAGUGAUGACCGMUAUUAUUGGGCCUAAAGCGUCCGUAGCUGGCCAGGCAAGUCUAUCGGGAAAUCCGCGCGCUUAACGCGCGGGCGUCCGGUGGAAACUGUGUGGCUUGGGACCGGAAGACCAGAGGGGUACGUCCGGGGUAGGAGUGAAAUCCCGUAAUCCUGGACGGACCACCGGUGGCGAAAGCGCCUCUGGAAGACGGAUCCGACGGUGAGGGACGAAAGCUCGGGUCACGAACCGGAUUAGAUACCCGGGUAGUCCGAGCUGUAAACGAUGUCUGCUAGAUGUGGCACAGGCUACGAGCCUGUGCUGUGUCGUAGGGAAGCCGUGAAGCAGACCGCCUGGGAAGUACGUCCGCAAGGAUGAAACUUAAAGGAAUUGGCGGGGG
rnacentral:rRNA from 1 species